GACGAACGCUGGCGGCGUGCUUAACACAUGCAAGUCGAACGGUAACGCCCCGGCUUUGUGGUGUGCAUCAGUGGCGAACGGGUGAGUAACACGUGAGCAACCUGCCCCCGACUCUGGGAUAACCUCUGGAAACUGGGUCUCAUACUGGAUACGGGCUCUAGCCGCAUGGUGAUUGUCGGGAAAGUUUUGCGGUUGGGGAUGGGGUCGCGGCGUAUCAGCUUGUUGGUGAGGUAUUGUCUCACCAAGGCUACGACGGGUAGCCGGCCUGAGAGGGGGACCGGCCACAAUGGGACUGAGAGACGGCCCAGACUCCUACGGGAGGCAGCAGUGGGGAAUAUUGCACAAUGGGCGCAAGCCUGAUGCAGCGACGCCGCGUGCGGGAUGACGGCCUUAGGGUUGUAAACCGCUUUCAGCAGGGAAGAAGCGAAAGUGACGGUAACUGAACAAGAAGCACCGGCUAACUACGUG
rnacentral:rRNA from 1 species